AUUUGUACCCCUACUUUAAACUUCCAGUGGACAAAGACCCAGACUCAAGUUACUUGGAUUACUGUAGAAUUUUUUAUGGUCUAUAACUAUGAAUACUUUGUCAUUGUCAAAUGUGGCAGAGUUUUUUACUUUUAUCUCCCUACAGAACAUCAGUUGAUAGUCACCACAGUGAAGAUUAAAUUUGCAAGAAUCCAAGAGUCCAGCAAGGAAGUUCCAGCACAUUGUUUGACCAAAAGCCCCAAGAAUAAAUGCACUGAAGAGGGUAUAUCUUGUGGCAGUGACAUUAGUAACAGCUGAAAUGAAAUCAUCUCCUUGGUUGACUAAGAAGAUAGUUACCAAAACUGAUCUGUUCUAGAAAGGAGGCAAGGAUUUUAAAGCCAUGGGUGAUUAUCAUAGAUAUUCACAAUGGCAAACCUAAAGGAUUUAGAAGCUCUGCACCACCCAAAGGGAAAGCACCAGUGAGAGUCAGGAUGCAAUUCCAGACAAGUGCCAUUCCUUAUUCAAAAUGUCAAGGUCAGGUGUGGAUGAUGAGUUCAGAUCUGUGCCAGCAACUGUGAAGACUGGAAGACUGACUGGAAGGAAAAAACACAACAGUUUUGUGAGUACUAAGUUUGUCACAUAAGCCAUAAUAUUUAAUCCUGAUAAUAACCCUGUGAGCCAUGGUUUGGUAGGUCCAUUAAAUGGUAAAACUAUGGGGGCACCUGGGUGGCUCAGUCAGUUAAGUGGCUGCCUUCCAUUCAGGUCAUGAUCCUAGGGUCUUAGGAUUGAGUCCCGCAUCUGGCUCCCUGCUCAGUGGGAAGUCUGCUUCUCCCUCUGCCACUCCUCCUGCUUCUGCUCUCAUUCUCUCUCACUCUGUCAAAUAAGUUAAUAAAAUCUUUUUAAAAAUUUUUUUUAAAUGUUAGAACUAUGGGUCAAAUUCUGGUUCAAGUUGAUAUUGUAACUGCUCUUCACAACACCAUAUGUACUGCCUGUCAUAAUAGACAAAUCAGUAAGUGCCCUCCUGGAAGGUAUUGUUGCUAUGACCUAUUCUCUUAGGUCUGUCUGAUUUUCAUCUAUGUGCAUGCUAUUUCCCACCAAAAUAAGCAGUUUACAAAGAACAUAGUUUACAAAGAACUGACCCUAGAUGAUUUUGCUCAGUUGCUCUCUAUCAGGGCCAGGAAUUUUUUUCUGUGAAGGGGUAAACAAUAUUUUAAGCUUAAGGACCAUACAGUCUCUGUUGCCACUACUCACUUCUGAC
rnacentral:lncRNA from 1 species